rnacentral:rRNA from 1 species
GACGAACCGUGCGAACGUUGUUCGGAAUCACUGGGCUUAAAGGGCGCGUAGGCGGGUUCGCAAGUCUGUGGUGAAAGCCUCCAGCUUAACUGGAGAAGUGCCGUGGAUACUGCGAGUCUUGAGGAGGGUAGGGGCAUCUGGAACGGUCGGUGGAGCGGUGAAAUGCGCAGAUAUCGGGAGGAACACCUAUGGCGAAGGCAGCUCGCUGGGACGUUACUGACGCUGAGACGCGAAAGCGUGGGGAGCAAACAGG